GUUUGUCGGUAAAUAUUAAAGUAGUAAUGAAAUUCAACUCGUUAGAGCAAUAGAAAUAAGUUCAAUUGUAGAUAGUAUGAUAGCAGUGUCGGAUUCUCAAAUGACAUCGUUGCUUUCGUGUGUGUUGCACUUAUUUCAGAAACUAAACACAAACUUCAUCAUAAUUAAGACGUAUUUUUUCGUCAGCGGAAGCUAGUUUAUGUAUGGUUUUUCGUAUUCUCAAGGCAGGCAAUCGUACAUUUGGAUUUUGAUGCCAACAUUCCUUCAUUAACUUUGACAUGCCAGCAAAAAUGUACCGGAUCAGAAGCCCAGCGAUUGGGAAAGGACGGUCUAUAAUUAUCCACGCAUACAACUUUUCGCAUAUCCUCAAAACUGGGGUCCGAUGGGACAACAUCAUAAAAAGGCACUUUGUAUUCUUCUGCAAUGCCUCCUGAAAUAGUACGGCGACAUACUUCCCACAGUACUAACCCAAGUGCAUAAAUAUCAGUGCGUCGCAAUGCCUCAAAACAUUGCAUAUUAAUACUGUAAUAAAAUAUUUAGUUGUGAGUUAAGUGAUUAACGUUAUAGGGUGCGUUUAGAAGUAUACCUUUCUUCCAAAACUUCAGGUGACAUGUAACGUUUGGUGCCGACUUUAGGAUUAUUUCCUAAAUCUAAUUUUCCUGUAACAUGAGAGUGUGUAACAGCUAAUCCGAAAUCUGCUAUUACGCAAGUUCCAUCCGAUUUAACAAGUAUAUUCUUUGACUUUA